AUUGAACGCUGGCGGCAGGCCUAACACAUGCAAGUCGAGCGCGCGGCGGACGGGUGAGUAAUGUAUGGGGACUGCCCGAUCGAGGGGGAUAACUACUGGCAACGGUGGCUAAUACCGCAUACUAUCGGAUAACCCAUAUGGGAUUAGCUAGUAGGUGGGGUAACGGCUCACCUAGGCGACGAUCUCUAGCUGGUCUGAGAGGAUGAUCAGCCACACUGGGACUGAGACACGGACCAGACUCCUACGGAGGAAGCAGUGGGGAAUAUUGGACAAUGGGCGCAAGCCUGAUGCAGCAAUGCCGCGUGUAUGAAGAAGGCCUUAGGGUUGUAAAGUACUUUAAGCGGGGAGGCGGUACCCGAAGAAGAAGCACCGGCUAACUACGUGCCAGCAGCCGCGGUAAUAC
rnacentral:rRNA from 1 species